rnacentral:rRNA from 1 species
AAGCUGCAGGGGAUCACUCGUGUUACACUGCAAUCGCGUGUCGCCCUUAGAGUUUGAUCCUGGCUCAGGAUGAACGCUGGCGGCGUGCCUAACCCAUGUAAGUCGAGCGAUUUCGUAGCAAUAUGAAAGAGCGGCGGAAGGGUGAGUAACACGUAGGAGACCUACCUCAUCGCAGGGAACAACUUCGCGAAAGCGGAGCUAAUACCCAGAAGGCUCGGUGGUUCAGUCCACCGAGGAGAGUGGCCCCGCAAGGGGACGCGUGAUGAGAGGGUCCUGCGGCCCAUCAGCUCGUUGGUAGGGUAGUGGCCUACCAAGGCAACGACGGGUAGGGGGUCUGAGAGGACGAUCCCCCACACUGGAACUGAAACACGGUCCAGACGCCUACGGGUGGCAGCAGGGAGGAAUAUUGGGCAAUGGACGAAAGUCUGACCCAGCAACGCCGCGUGGAGGAUGAAGGCCUUCGGGUCGUAAACUCCUUUUGAGGGAGAAGAGCAAGGACGGUAUCCCUCGAAUAAGCCACGGCUAACUACGUGCCAGCAGCCGCGGUAAAACGUAGGUGGCGAGCGUUAUCCGGAUUCAUUGGGCGUAAAGAGCUUGUAGGUGGCCAGGUAAGUUGGACGUGAAAGCGCCGGGCUUAACUCGGCGAGGCCGUUCAAGACUGCCAGGCUAGAGGGCGUCAGAGGGAAGCGGAAUACCUGGUGUAGCAGUGAAAUGCGUAGAUAUCAGGUGGAACAUCCGUGGCGAAGGCGGCUUCCUGGGGCGCACCUGACACUGAGAAGCGAAAGCUAGGGGAGCAAACGGGAUUAGAAACCCCGGUAGUCCUAGCUGUAAACGAUGGACGCUAGGUGUGCGCGGAUCUAACCCCGCACGUGCCGAAGCAAACGCGUUAAGCAUCCCGCCUGGGAACUACGAGCGCAAGCUUAAAACUCAAAGGAAUUGACGGGGACCCGCACAAGCAGCGGAGCGUGUGGUUUAAUUCGAUGCUACACGAAGAACCUCACCCAGGUUUGACAUCGCGGUGGUAGGGAAGCGAAAGCGGACCGACCCGCCAAGGGAGCCGGGACAGGUGUUGCAUGGCUGUCGUCAGCUCGUGUCGUGAGAUGUUGGUUUAAGUACCCUAACGAGCGCAACCCUCGUUGCCAGUUACAAGUGUCUGGCGAGACUGCCGGCCGCAAGCCGGAGGAAGGCGGGGAUGACGUCAAGUCAGCAUGGCCUUUAUAUCUGGGGCUACACACACGCUACAAUGGGUCGCCACAAUGGGUUGCCAAACCGCGAGGCGGAGCCAAUCCCAUAAAACGGCCCUCAGUUCAGAUUGCAGGCUGCAACCCGCCUGCAUGAAGUCGGAGUUGCUAGUAAACGCGCGUCAGCUAUAGUGCGUUGAAUACGUUCCCGGGUCUUGUACACACCGCCCGUCACACUAUGGGAGCUGGCAACACCUGAAGCCAGUAGCGUAACCGCAAGGAGCGCGCUGUCAAAGGUGGGGCUGGUGACUGGAGUGAAGUCGUAACAAGGUAACCAAGGGCGACACGCGAUUGCAGUCUUGAGUC